GCCAGAGAUCUUCUUUACUUCAAUUUCAAGUUCUUAUACUUAUUCAAUUCAAUCAAACACUUUGCAAAGAAUUCAAACAUGGGGAUUCGCUUGCCCAGGAUUGUUAAUGCUAAGCAAAUUCUACGACGGAUUCUUUUGUCACAAGAAACAACUGAUGUGCCUAAAGGCCACUUUGCUGUUUAUGUUGGAGAAAAUCAGAAGAGAUUUGCUGUUCCAAUAUCAUAUUUGAAGCAUGCUUCAUUUCAGAACCUGCUAAGUCAAGCUGAAGAAGAGUUUGGGUUUCAUCAUCCUAUGGGUGGCCUCACUAUCCCAUGUAGUGAACAAGUCUUCGCUGAUAUGAUUUUCAGUUUGUAGACCUUAUCAAGAAAUGCUGUAAAGGAUGUUACAUAAUGAGGAUAUAAUAUAGCGUAGAAGAUAUUCGCUAUCUAACAAUACUAAUCUAUGUAUCAAUUUUGGAUUGACAAAUGAAAGUAAAUAUGUUUGAAUUAUUUAUUGUUUACAUCCUUUAAUCAUCAUAUAUUUAUGGAAAGUUAAUCUCCAGCCCAAUUCUCUUCUUCUUGAAUUCUUGAAUGUUUUCAAGUUUUCUGGUGUACCCAUUUAAAACAAGUAAUUGAGAUGAAUCUUU
rnacentral:misc_RNA from 1 species